AACGUACAAAUACCUGUAUCUCUUCCUCCUCAAUUGUGGUGAACCCCCUCUAUACAUCUCAUUGCCCGCACCUGCUAAAAUCAAGUGGAUCUGGCCUCCACUGAUUGAAAGUGCAGCAGUCAAUACCUCCUGUCCGCGUCAGGUUCGCCUUCGUUAUUUUCUUGGCAGCUUGUUCUGCCAGGUUUUUUGAGCUUUUUAAACAUAAAUUGACCAUUACAUGUAAAUAAGGAACAGAAGUAUCAUGCAAGCCCUGAUGAAGCACAUCUAGUGCGAAACUAGUUGGCAAUAUCGCAUCUACUUUUCUUCUGAUUAUAACCUUCAUUUCCUUUUUGUAUAAAUCAUGUAAAUUUGGUCGUGAUCAUGUAUUUUUCACUUUGCUAACCUAUUUUAUGAAAUGUGAAACUUUAUAUUUAUAUAAUUAAAUUAUUUUUGAUAU